UGGGGAAUCUUCCACAAUGGACGCAAGUCUGAUGGAGCAACGCCGCGUGAGUGAAGAAGGUUUUCGGACCGUAAAGCUCUGUUGUUGGUGAAGAAGGAUAGAGGUAGUAACUGGCCUUUAUUUGACGGUAAUCAACCAGAAAGUCACGGCUAACUACGUGCCAGCAGCCGCGGUAAUCGUAGGUGGCAAGCGUUGUCCGGAUUUAUUGGGCGUAAAGCGAGCGCAGGCGGAAGAAUAAGUCUGAUGUGAAAGCCCUCGGCUUAACCGAGGAAUUGCAUCGGAAACUGUUUUUCUUGAGUGCAGAAGAGGAGAGUAGAACUCCAUGUGUAGCGGUGGAAUGCGUAGAUAUAUGGAAGAAUACCAGUGGCGAAGGCGGCUCUCUGGUCUGCAACUGACGCUGAGGCUCGAAAAGCAUGGGUAGCGAACAGGAUUAGAUACCCUGGUAGUC
rnacentral:rRNA from 1 species